GAUAUCAUACCACGUUGAAUACUCCGGUUCUCGUCCGAUCACCGAAGUUAAGCAGCGUCAGGCACGGUUAGUACUUGGAUGGGAGAACAACUGGGAAUACCAAGUGUAGUAAGCU
rnacentral:rRNA from 1 species